ensembl:processed_transcript 2010001A14Rik RIKEN cDNA 2010001A14 gene
GCGGGCCGCAGGUUUAGUCCUGGUUGUGGAGUGAGAUGCUGAGAUGGGUCUGGAGGGAUGCAGGAUGUUCUAGUCCGUUAGGAUGGUAAAUAGGGACCUCGCUCCGCGAGGGAUGCUGAACGGGGUCUGGAAGAAUGCAAGAUGUCCUGGUCCGGGCCAGGACUGGUUACAUGGAUAGUGGGAUGUCAGAAGGGGAAUUGUAGUGAAUCACCCUUCUAUCCAAUCAACUGACAACACAGCAAUGAUCCCACAUCAUCCCAGCCCGAGAAAAACUCAGGGUUGGUGCCGGUGCUGAGCAGCUACUGGCCAGGAGCUGGAUGUCAGAUCCCUGGGAGGAUAUGAGAGGAUGUUUCCAGAAAGACCGAACUAAAAAGGAACGUCCAACCCUGAAUGUGGAGGACAUCCUCCUCUGGGCUGGGCUCCCAGACCGAGUACGAAGAAAAUAAGUUGAGCUCGNNNNNNNNNNN